rnacentral:lncRNA from 1 species
ACCAGUCCAAACAAUUAGGCAGUCCAUAGUACUUACUGGACCCAUAUCAAUUAACAACAAUCCUAAUCAAGCAACUCACGAUACAAUAUUCCAUCACCUUAAACAAAACAAACACAUCAACUAAACUAAAAUCUGGAACGAGACUUCAUUAACUUCAAUUAUGAGUUUACAGCAGGGAGGUUUCAAGACAUGUACCUGGAGUGAAAUACAAUAAGAAGAAGAUGAGAAUCAACAAGUAAAUGGUUGAUACUCAGCAGUCACACAGCCACAAUCAAUAGAGAUUCACAGUAGCCCAGAUGAAAGAACAAGACCCAGAAAUGUUCAAACCCAGUUCUAAAACCAGCAGAUCCAACCACACGAACAUCUAGGUCAAGCAAAAAACUACCAGAACCUUGAGAUAUGAUAAACAGCUCGAAUUUGAAACCCAAACAGCAAAUAGUGAGAGAUCUCAGCUGUAACUACCUUCAAACCAAAGGAACAGUCAUUUUUUUAGUUUUUUUUUUUCUAUUUUUUGAAUGUUGUUGUAUAUUUUUAGAAUUUAAACUAGAGUGUUAACUGAAAUUUCUGGAAAAAUGAAGAAAAACAAACAAGCUUCUUAGAGUUUUUUUAGCUGAAAAAAUGUUGAACCCCCUUUCACAAGGCAUUUGAUGCCUUUAUAUAGGCCAAGAAGAAAGAAAAUUUCAGCAAAAAGGAAUUUCAAAUCAGUCCCCCCUUUCUUUUACUUCAAACCUUAUAUUUCUAACUUGCUAUCUAAGUAAGUACUACAAAAAACUGAAAGCUACACUUUUACCCCACUCUAGAAGCAUCUAGGAUGCUCUUUUAGCCGAGCAAUUCCUAGAUUACCCCUCCCUUAUUUUCAAUUUACUAAUUUUCAAGAUGCUGUCAUUUUCUAUGCCUAAAAUGCCCUUGUAAUGUUCUGAAAUUUACAGACUAAGGUCAGCUAUACCAAACCUUUUUACCCCCUGUUAAAAAUUAACUAAAGCUAACUAAAAAGUGAACUAUCAGCUAUACCCAAACAACCAAACCUUACUUAUUAAGAUUGAAUUAAAGCCCAAAUAAACCUACCAAACAAACUAAAAGAAUACAAAUUCAAUUAGAUUAAAAUCUGGCAAAAUCAAGGAAGAAAUCACAAACACAUUUAAACUGAAAUCUAGAAUUACUAAAUCACACUAAAGAAGGAAACCAAAUCACUUACAAAAUUCCUACAGAAUCAAUUAUUGCUGAAUUCAAAAUUAAAAUUGAAAUUAAAACGAAAAUAACCUAAUCGAGUCGAAUUAUACCAACUAAUCAGAAUCAAUGUAUACUACAGUUAGAAUUAUAACAGAAGCAUGAACAAACACAUAAUAACUUAUCUUCAUUAAGCAACUAAACAUGAACCCACUACCAAGAUGAACAAGAAGAAUGAAAGAUUAAAGAAGAAAGAAGAAACUCACGGGUAAAAUCUUCACACAACCAAAUCAAAAUUAGUUUCUUAAUUAAUGUUAUAUGUUUAUAAACAUACAACAUCGAUUAAGAAAUUACAUCGAUGCAUGAAGCGUCCAAAAAUAACUCACCUUGAAACCCUGCAUCGAAAAUUGGGGAUGGGCUGUUGAGAUUCGAGGUAAAAUAACCAAAGACUCGAGACGAGGGAGGUCCAUAGACUAUCUGGUAUCAAUUUGGGCUUGUUUGGAAGAACUGGGGUUUUGAGCCUUAUUUUAAAAUCAAGAUUCGAGAUGCUUGGGUUUGAUUCGAGGAAAACGGUUAGCCUAAAUAAAAAGAGGGGGUUGAGGAGAAUAGGGUGUGUAAAUUUGGCUACGCUUUGGAAGAAACCAGGUUUUGAUCCGGAACAGGGAGAACGAGGUGAUAUUGUGGUAUAAUUUUGGACGGGAAAGGAGCAUCACCGUCGCCGCCGGCGAUUCCCGGCCGGCGGUGGAUGGCAGAGGCGGCGGCGUGAUCUCUGAUGAAUG